AGUGAACGCUGGCGGCAGGCCUAACACAUGCAAGUCGAGCGGCAGCGGGUCCUUCGGGCUGCCGGCGAGCGGCGGACGGGUGAGGAAUGCAUCGGAAUCUGCCCUGUCGUGGGGGAUAACCUAGGGAAACUUAGGCUAAUACCGCAUACGACCCACGGGUGAAAGCGGGGGAUCGCAAGACCUCGCGCGAUAGGAUGAGCCGAUGUCCGAUUAGCUAGUUGGCGGGGUAAAGGCCCACCAAGGCGACGAUCGGUAGCUGAUCUGAGAGGAUGAUCAGCCACACUGGAACUGAGACACGGCCCAGACUCCUACGGGAGGCAGCAGUGGGGAAUAUUGGACAAUGGGCGCAAGCCUGAUCCAGCCAUGCCGCGUGGGUGAAGAAGGCCUUCGGGUUGUAAAGCCCUUUUGUCCGGGAAGAAAUCGUCUGGGCUAAUACCCCGGGCGGAUGACGGUACCGGAAGAAUAAGCACCGGCUAACUUCGUG
rnacentral:rRNA from 1 species